rnacentral:rRNA from 1 species
CUUUUGGGUGUGACUGCGUACCUUUUGUAUAAUGGGUCAGCGACUUAUAUUCUGUAGCAAGGUUAACCGAAUAGGGGAGCCGGAGGGAAACCGAGUCUUAAUUGGGCGUUAAGUUGCAGGGUAUAGACCCGAAACCCGGUGAUCUAGCCAUGGGCAGGUUGAAGGUUGGGUAACACUAACUGGAGGACCGAACCGACUAAUGUUGAAAAAUUAGCGGAUGACCUGUGGCUGGGGGUGAAAGGCCAAUCAAACCGGGAGAUAGCUGGUUCUCCCCGAAAGCUAUUUAGGUAGCGCCUCGUGAAUUCAUCUCCGGGGGUAGAGCACUGUUUCGGCUAGGGGGCCAUCCCGGCUUACCAACCCGAUGCAAACUGCGAAUACCGGAGAAUGUUAUCACGGGAGACACACGGCGGGUGCUAACGUCCGUCGUGAAGAGGGAAACAACCCAGACCGCCAGCUAAGGUCCCAAAGUCAUGGUUAAGUGGGAAACGAUGUGGGAAGGCACAGACAGCCAGGAUGUUGGCUUAGAAGCAGCCAUCAUUUAAAGAAAGCGUAAUAGCUCACUGGUCGAGUCGGCCUGCGCGGAAGAUGUAACGGGGCUAAACCAUGCACCGAAGCUGCGGCAGCGACGUUUAUGCGUUGUU